rnacentral:lncRNA from 1 species
CACUUGGUCCGUCCGGGAGUGUGGAGUUCUUGACCCAUCAUCCAGGCUGAGUGUGGGGAGCCGCCCUCACAUUCACAUUACAAGAUGGCGCUGACAUCCUGUGUUCUAAGUGGUAAACAAAUAAUCUGCGCAUGUGCCAAGGAUAGUUUUCCACUACAUGUGCUCUGCCUUCCCCGUGACGACAACUCGGCCAAUGGGCUGCAGCCAAUCAGGGAGUGACACGUCCUAGGCGGAGGAUAAUUCUCCUGAAAAAGGGACGGGGUUUCGCCUUUCUCUCUCUUGCUCUGGCUCUUGUUCGCUUGCGCUCUUGCGCUCUGGCUCCUAAAGAUGUAAGCAAUAGAGCUCUUGCUCUCUUGCUCUCUGGCUCCUAAAGAUGUAAGCAAUAAAGCUUUUGCCGCAGAA